AGCAGCCGCGGUAAUUCCAGCUCCAAUAGCGUAUAUUAAAGUUGUUGCAGUUAAAAAGCUCGUAGUUGAAUUUCGGGGUCAGUAGGUUGGUCAUGCCACUGGUAUGUACUGGUCUCACUGAUUCCUCCUUCCUGAUGAGCCGUAAUGCCAUUAAUUUGGUGUUGCGAGGAAUCUGGACUGUUACUUUGAAAAAUUAGAGUGUUUAAAGCAGGCUCACGCUUGAAUACAUUAGCAUGGAAUAAUGAAAUAGGACGUUUGAUUCUAUUUUGUUGGUUUCUAGGAUCGACGUAAUGAUUAAUAGGGAUAGUUGGGGGCAUUAGUAUUCAAUUGUCAGAGGUGAAAUUCUUGGAUUUAUUGAAGACUAACUACUGCGAAAGCAUUUGCCAAGGAUGUUUUCAUUAAUCAAGAACGAAAGUUAGGGGAUCGAAGACGAUCAGAUACCGUCGUAGUCUUAACCAUAAACUAUGCCGACUAGGGAUCGGAUGAUGUUAAUUUUUUAAUGA
rnacentral:rRNA from 1 species